rnacentral:miRNA from 9 species
UCGGGAAUAUAGGCAUAAUGCC